UUAAGAUCCGCUGUGCAGAACUUUGCCACUUGACCUGAAGUAACUUAUAAUAAUAGGUUAUGCAGUGAAGCAGAACUAGAGGGGGCUAAGCUACUUUGCCAGUGAGUUUCACAGAUAUUUGCUAACAGCAGAGGAAUGAGAGAAAAUUCCAAACACGAUUUUUCAGGAGGAUCAGUGACUAAAACUAUUUUACAUAUGAUCGGAUUGUGCUUUGCAUUUUGACCAGCAUUACAGUAAAGACCAGACAUCCUUGCUACA